GGGCCCGCACAAGCGGUGGAGUAUGUGGUUUAAUUCGAUGCAACGCGAAGAACCUUACCAGGGUUUGACAUCCUGCGAAUCUCUUGGAAACAGGAGAGUGCCUUCGGGAACGCAGUGACAGGUGGUGCAUGGCUGUCGUCAGCUCGUGUCGUGAGAUGUUCCGUUAAGUCGGAUAACGAGCGCAACCCUUACCCUUAUUUGCCAGCGAUUCGGUCGGGAACUAUAAGGGGACUGCCGGUGAUAAACCGGAGGAAGGUGAGGACGACGUCAAGUCAUCAUGGCCCUUACGAGUAGGGCUACACACGUGCUACAAUGGCAUUUACAGAGGGAAGCGAGACAGUGAUGUGGAGCGGACCCCCUUAAAGAAUGUCGU
rnacentral:rRNA from 1 species